rnacentral:rRNA from 1 species
CCUACGGGAGGCUGCAGUGAGGAAUAUUGGUCAAUGGGCGCUAGCCUGAACCAGCCAAGUAGCGUGAAGGAUGACUGCCCUAUGGAUUGUAAACUUCUUUUGUAUGGGAAUAAAGUGCAGUAUGUAUACUGCUUUGCAUGUACCUUAUGAAUAAGGAUCGGCUAACUCCGUGCCAGCAGCCGCGGUAAUACGGAGGAUCCGAGCGUUAUCCGGAUUUAUUGGGUUUAAAGGGAGCGUAGGCGGGUUGUUAAGUCAGUUGUGAAAGUUUGCGGCUCAACCGUAAAAUUGCCGUUGAUACUGGCAGCCUUGAGUACAGUAGAGGUAGGCGGAAUUCGUGGUGUAGCGGUGAAAUGCUUAGAUAUCACGAAGAACUCCGAUUGCGAAGGCAGCCUGCUGGACUGUAACUGACGCUGAGGCUCGAAAGUGUGGGUAUCAAACAGGAUUAGAUACCCGUGUAGUC